rnacentral:rRNA from 1 species
GACGAACGCUGGCGGCGUGCUUAACACAUGCAAGUCGAACGGAAAGGCCCUGCUUUUGUGGGGUGCUCGAGUGGCGAACGGGUGAGUAACACGUGAGUAACCUGCCCUUGACUUUGGGAUAACUUCAGGAAACUGGGGCUAAUACCGGAUAGGAGCUCCUGCUGCAUGGUGGGGGUUGGAAAGUUUCGGCGGUUGGGGAUGGACUCGCGGCUUAUCAGCUUGUUGGUGGGGUAGUGGCUUACCAAGGCUUUGACGGGUAGCCGGCCUGAGAGGGUGACCGGCCACAUUGGGGCUGGGAUAGGGCCCGGACUCCUACGGGAGGCAGCAGUGGGGAAUAUUGCACAAUGGGCGGAAGCCUUAUGCGGCAACGCCGCGUGCGGGAUGACGGCCUUCGGGUUGUAUACCGCUUUCGCCUGUGACGAAGCGUGAGUGACGGUAAUGGGUAAAGAAGCACCGGCUAACUACGUG